GUCAUAAAAUUUACAAUGUUGCUUUCAACAAAAACACAUUCGGGCGAUUCUUCUGAUGCCUUAUUUUUAUGAGGCAAGACAUCAAUUUUCGCACAGCACAGUCUAGCCUGCCUACAGCCACCACUACACACACACACUACCACACUCGCCCAUUUAUAUUUCUCAAUUUUCCAUUCUUCGUAGCAGGAGGAAAAGAUUCUCCAGCGAUAAAUUCUCGCACUCAACAAAAUACAUAAACGAUUUAUAGUUGCAAAAAGCGGGCCAAACAAUAACUAACAAAGCGCAGCGACAGCACCAACAAUGGAUUCGAAGACCCAAAAGGAGCUCAAAAUGGAAAAGAAGAAAGGAUUUCGAUGCUAAAUCCCUCAACGCAGCAUAAAUCUUAAAUGGAAAACCUUUCGCACUUUUAGCUGCUGUAGGUGAUGAAACCGUGGCAGGAAAUGCUGGAGUUUUCAUGUGAAAAAAAAACAAA